rnacentral:tRNA from 1 species
UCUUCGAUGGUCUAGUGGUCAUGAUUUCCGCUUGUCAUCGUCGGAUAACAAGCGCGGGAGACCGGGGUGAGUGAAGUCGAUAUCAGGUUACGACAUCAGAUACUAAUGAUUACAGGUUCGAUUCCCCGUCGGAGAG